AGAGUUUGAUCCUGGCUCAGGAUGAACGCUAGCGGCAGGCUUAAUACAUGCAAGUCGAGGGGCAGCACGAAUAGCAAUAUUUGGUGGCGACCGGCGCACGGGUGCGUAACACGUAUGCAACCUUCCUUCAACCGGGGAAUAGCUCACCGAAAGGUGAAUUAAUACCCCAUAAUAUUCGAGAGUGGCAUCACUUUCCAAUUAAAGAAUUUCGGUUGAAGAUGGGCAUGCGCAACAUUAGCUAGUUGGUGAGGUAACGGCUCACCAAGGCUACGAUGUUUAGGGGAUCUGAGAGGAUUAACCCCCUCACUGGUACUGAGACACGGACCAGACUCCUACGGGAGGCAGCAGUAAGGAAUAUUGGACAAUGGGCGCAAGCCUGAUCCAGCCAUGCCGCGUGCAGGAUGACGGCCCUAUGGAUUGUAAACUGCUUUUAUGCGGGAAAAAACCCUCGCUCGUGAGCGAGGCUGAUGGUACCGUAAGAAUAAGGAUCGGCUAACUCCGUGUCAGCAGCCGCGGUAAUACGGAGGAUCCAAGCGUUAUCCGGAUUUAUUGGGUUUAAAGGGUGCGUAGGCGGAUUUGUAAGUCAGUGGUGAAAUCCUGCAGCUCAACUGUAGAACUGCCAUUGAUACUGCAAGUCUUGAGUACAUAUGAUGUGGGCGGAAUGUGUAGUGUAGCGGUGAAAUGCUUAGAUAUUACACAGAACACCGAUUGCGAAGGCAGCUCACAAAACUGUAACUGACGCUGAGGCACGAAAGCGUGGGGAGUGAACAGGAUUAGAUACCCUGGUAAUCCACGCCUUAAACGAUGAUUACUCGAUGUGUGCAAUACACCGUACGCGUCCUAGCGAAAGCGUUAAGUAAUCCACCUGGGGAGUACGAUCGCAAGGUUGAAACUCAAAGGAAUUGACGGGGGCCCGCACAAGCGGAGGAGCAUGUGGUUUAAUUCGAUGAUACGCGAGGAACCUUACCUGGGCUUGAAAGUUAGUGACCGGUGGUGAAAGCCACUUUUCCGCAAGGACACGAAACUAGGUGCUGCAUGGCUGUCGUCAGCUCGUGCCGUGAGGUGUUGGGUUAAGUCCCGCAACGAGCGCAACCCCUAUCUUUAGUUGCCAGCGAGUAAUGUCGGGGACUCUAGAGAAACUGCCCGUGCAAACGGUGAGGAAGGUGGGAUGACGUCAAGUCAGCACGGCCCUUACGUCCAGGGCUACACACGUGCUACAAUGGCGAGUACAAAGGGCAGCUACACAGUGAUGUGAUGCUAAUCUCUAAAGCUCGUCUCAGUUCGGAUUGAAGUCUGCAACUCGACUUCAUGAAGCUGGAUUCGCUAGUAAUCGUAGAUCAGCAAUGCUACGGUGAAUACGUUCCCGGGCCUUGUACACACCGCCCGUCAAGCCAUGGAAGUUGGGAGUACCUGAAGUCCAUCACCGCAAGGAGUGGCCUAGGGUAAAACCAAUGACUGGGGCUAAGUCGUAACAAGGUA
rnacentral:rRNA from 1 species